AUACUAGGGGAAAAGGAAUGCAGAGGAAAGUCAACAGAGGUUGAAACAAAAAUAAAACAUUGUUUGUUUCAGACCAUUGCAAGGGCAUUCCAUCCUUAUGAAAACCAGAGAUACACUGAGUACAGAACAGGGAUGCUGAUUCCAUGAACUCUAAUGAUAUGGCUGCCCAGACAAGAAAUGCAAACUUCUAGCUGGUCUACACGUCAACAUGGAUGGUAAAAAGCUCACAAGUUUUCACUCCUUAGAUGGAGAGAUACAAGCAGUCAUUCCUUUGAAGACAGUGACUGUGGAACUCAAUGAAGAUAUUCCAAUAACCAUAUGGAAUUGGCAGGCCCUAGCAGAUACUCAUAAUUGGUUCCAAACAUUUCCUCUUCUUAACUGUUCAAAACUGUAUUAUUUAAAAGGGAUAUUGAUGUGAAGAAACUGAGUAACAUGGGCCGAACUGAUUCUGGUUACAUAAGAGGAAGAAGAGAUCACUGAAGUGG
rnacentral:lncRNA from 1 species